GCAAUUCGAUUUAACUUUCGUGCUCUCCGAGCUAGUUAAAUCUCUCGGACUGAGAACAUUGAGAUCUCUGCUGCACGGAAAAUCAUCUAUAACGUUUCUAGAGCCAGGUACGUGCUCUGAAUUCUAGUUUCUAGACUGUAGCAAGCCAUAAUGCUACUUGGCAGGCCGGAGGAGGAACAAUCUAGUUGUCUUUUUACAGUACUCAGCCCCGGUCGGAAAUUCCUCCUCUUUUCUAGAACUUCACCUUCACAGUGAUCGCUCUGCAGGGAGAUUGGAAGAGCGCCAAGCUCAACAUAUUGGGCCAGAAAGACAAAAAUACACGUGAAAUAGCAACGCCAGGAGACGGCACUUGUAUGACAGGCAAGGAUGUCCAUCGCUUUGCUCAUCGCAAUUUUCCGAUCCCUAGAGUUUAUGAAGCUGCUGUUGUUUGAUUGCAGUGAGGAGAGGAGUGCAUGACGUAAAACGAGCACACACUGGUUUGUCACGUUUUUUAUUAUACAGUUUUAGUUAUUUGCAGUGAUCAAAUGUGUAAGCUCAGCCGGUAGAGCGCGUUGCUUUUUGGAUCUCGACCUUUUUGCAGCGAAAACGUUGGGUUCGAUUCCGCGGCUUUCGGUCACCAAUUUACUGCAGGAGCUCUAUUAUUUUUAUUCAGAAGAUUCCUGCUUUUAAUUUUCAGCUCACGUUAAACCAUCUCAACGAGUCCAGGUUUACCAGGCUCCUGGGGACCUCACCACUCAGCUCCAGAGAUGGCUCCUUCAAACUCAGCAUGCUUCCCAUGGACGAAGGAAUUGCCCCGGACAACUCGUUACUGCUCACAGUUGCAGGAUCAAAGGCAGGAUGUGAUACGACAAGUUCAGCAUUGACGUGAGGAAGUCUCGACCAUGGUAGAAUGGGGCCUUGGAGACUGCAGUUGCGUGGAGAUCCAGCUCAAGGAGGGUUCCUGGAGCUGUGCAAGGCCGUGGAGAUUCAGUGGAAACUUCUUCAGAGCAAAGCCAAGAUCUCACCAGCAAGGGACAAGGUUGGAGCAAUAUGAUAUGUUCCCUAUGUCUUGCAGGGAUUAAACAAGUACAAGACAAAACUCUUAAGUGAACCAGCUAUGCCUCGAAAGUGAAAUUAAAGCCAAGUGAACUCA